UUGAGCCGUAUGCGGGGAAACUCGCACGUACGGUUCUGAGGGGGCUGCGGAUCAGUAAUGAUCUGUGGCUACCCGAC
rnacentral:ncRNA from 2 species